rnacentral:rRNA from 1 species
UACGAAGGGUGCAAACGUUGCUCGGAAUUAUUGGGCGUAAAGGGCGCGUAGGCGGUGCGGUAAGUCAGGGGUGAAAUCCUGGAGCUCAACUCCAGAACUGCCUUUGAUACUGAAGAUCUUGAGUUCGGGAGAGGUGAGUGGAACUGCGAGUGUAGAGGUGAAAUUCGUAGAUAUUCGGAAGAACACCAGUGGCGAAGGCGGCUCACUGGUCCGGUACUGACGCUGAGGUGCGAAAGCGUGGGGAGCAAACAGG